GGCAACCCACUCAGAUUCCGUUUCAUAGUGUGGAGGUUUUGUUCUUUCACUCUGCAGUAAAUCUUACUGCUGCUCAGUGUUUGGGUCUGUGCUACCUUUAUGAGCUGUAACACUCACGGUGGAAGCCUGCAGUCUCACUCCUGAGGCCAGGGAGACCACGAACCCACCAGGAGGAAUGAACAACUCCGGAGGCGCAGACUUAAGAGCUGUAACACUCACCGCGAAGGUCUGUAGUUUCACUUUUGAACCAGCGAGACCAUGAACCCGCCAGAAAGAAAAAACUGCCAACACAGCCGGACAUCAGAAGGAACAAACUGGGGACACGCUGCCUUUAAGAAACAUAACAGGCACCGUGAGGGUCCACGGCUUCAUUCUUGAAGUUAGUGAGACCAAGAACCCACCUAAUCCCGGGCACAAAACCACCUCAAUCUCCCAAAGACCGAAAGCCCUGGUGUCGCUGGGACCAGAGGAGAUGAUGUGGAUGGGGAAAUAGUUCAUACGCAGCUCAGCGACCUUGAAGCGGCAUCCGAGGAGAUGUGGCCACGGGGCAGGCGACCGACACCAGCGAGUCCAGAGGGCCAGCGUGUGCACCACUGUGUGUCUCCAGAGACUUCAGGAAGCAGCCACCACGCCCGAGGAAUGCAGGAAGAUGGACACACGGCUGGGGAAGUACAAUGAAAGGCCAAGUAGGCAGCCUGUUCUCCUCAGAUCAGUCCCCCACGAACACUCAUUCCCGAGGACUCAUCCAAUACUAAUAAGAGAAUGCUCUUGUUUUUGAAGAAUUUUCUGAAAGCCAUCCUGACAAAUUAAGUAGAGUAUGCUGAAGAUAGUCAGACUUUGUUUUUAAGAAUUGAAUAUUCUGGAAGAGGCUCUUCAGUCCAAUCUUUAGUUCUCUCCACAGAGCAAACGAAGUGAAGUGCUGAAGGCCUGGAGCCCGAGCUGUUCCCACACGGACUCCAGGACAGUUAAGGCAGGGUUGCCUUAACUAAAUCUCUGACAACUGUUUCUUCUGUCUUUCUCCUAAAAAUGGAAUGCAGGCCAUCUAUUCUAGGGAAAUAAAGGAUUCUAGUUAUGUGAAUCCAGGAGCUUUUUUUGUUUGUUUGUUUGAGACAAAGUCUCGCUCUAUCGCCCAGGUUGAAGUGCAGUGGCUCCAUCUCGGCUCACUGCAACCUCCGCCACCCAGGUUCAAGA
rnacentral:lncRNA from 10 species